rnacentral:rRNA from 1 species
GAUGAACGCUGGCGGCGUGCCUAAUACAUGCAAGUCGAGCGAACAGACGAGGAGCUUGCUCCUCUGACGUUAGCGGCGGACGGGUGAGUAACACGUGUAUAACCUACCUAUAAGACUGGGAUAACUUCGGGAAACCGGAGCUAAUACCGUAUAAUAUAUUGAACCGCAUGGUUCAAUAGUGAAAGACGGUUUUGCUGUCACUUAUAGAUGGAUCCGCGCCGCAUUAGCUAGUUGGUAAGGUAACGGCUUACCAAGGCAACGAUGCGUAGCCGAACUGAGAGGGUGAUCGGCCACACUGGAACUGAGACACGGUCCAGACUCCUACGGGAGGCAGCAGUAGGGAAUCGUCCGCAAUGGGCGAAAGCCUGACGGAGCAACGCCGAGUGAGUGAUGAAGGUCUUCGGAUCGUAAAACUCUGUUAUUAGGGAAGAACAAAUGUGUAAGUAACUAUGCACGUCUUGACGGUACCUAAUCAGAAAGCCACGGCUAACUACGUG